rnacentral:misc_RNA from 1 species
CCGAGUUUACAACUCCCAAACCCCUGUGAACAUACCACUUGUUGCCUCGGCGGAUCAGCCCGCUCCCGGUAAAACGGGACGGCCCGCCAGAGGACCCCUAAACUCUGUUUCUAUAUGUAACUCCUGAGUAAAACCAUAAAUAAAUCA